CGUGAUUGGAAGCCCAGCGUUCCUGUCAUACUUCUCUGCGGAGCAGCAGCAGCAGACAGGACAAGGCCUCCGGGUGUUCUAGGAACACAAAGUCAAAGGAGUCAGGACUGAUCACACUGGACAGGGACACCACUCACCUUUAUAUUUAAGGUGCUGCAGGAUGGGAUGAUUGUCUCCAGGAGGGAUGUUUUGAGCCAGGAACAGCUGCCAGGUGCUGUACUUCUCGAAGGUCUCCCAGUCUAGAGACUAAACUGUGGACACACGAAGAAGACGCGAGGGCAGGUGGGACCAUGAAGAUGACGCGAGGACAGAUGGAAAACUUGGACAGGUGUCCACAGAGUGUCUCACUGAGGAUGCUGAGCACAAAGUCCUUCCUGAACAUCCCCAGGCUCCCCAUCAUCAUGUGACACAUUAGCCCCUGCCAACACAGAGAGACUUGCUUACUGAACACAACCUAGAUCAGAACCAGACUAAAGGUUCUGCAGAGAAACAACACGAGGUACACAUGAGAUGCCGUCCGACCCUCCGUGGCCUCCCAGUGAACCUGCUAGCGGAUUACUGACGUCUUCAAAACCUGCAAUUGCCCAACUUAGUGCGGGAAGCUCCCUCAGCCAGUGCGUCAGCCAGUACGUCAAGCAGGAUCCAGGUGCAGGAAAAGAAGAAGAAGAAACAUGAAGGAGGCAGAGAAGAACAAGGCUUCAGCUGAGAAUCAGAUCAAACUGCUUUUUCUGUGGAUGCUGUAGCUGUUAAUGACCAGGACCGGCUCCAGCAGCUAGUUGGUUAAGAACAUCCUCCCACCCUUACUCCCUUUCCUCCCCUUCCUUCCACUUGUCUUUCUCCUCAUUCCCACUUCCCUCUGCCUCUCCCCCCUUUCUCCCCCCUCUUUCCUUUUUGCACCCAUCCUCUCCCUCUUUUCUAUCCCACCUCUAAACAACACCCACCACCGCAAAGUGGACACAA